ensembl:lncRNA
CACCCUGCUGGGUGGACUUGGUCUGGAGGGAGAAAAGAGUGAGCGGUGUGAGUCGUGCAUGGUGCAGGGCGAGGGAAGAGCUGCCCUGAGCUCUUGCCAACACUUGCUUGUUCCUAGCACUGCCUGGUUCCUGCUGAAACACAACUUAGAAGCUCGCUCUGAUUCACACGGUUGACAAUGGUUCCAUUCCUAGAGCUCAGCCCUGGAGUCUUGCUGGCUACAUUCCCCUCAGCCAUGUCAACCCGGAUGCAGAGCAUGCGAGCAGAGGCUGCACAGCUGUCCAGGACAGCAUCGAAGGGAUGGCUUUGAUUGAGCUGGCAGGCGUAACUGCUUUCUGAGGAACCGUGCAGCCAUGGAGGGAAUUCAGAAGCAUCUCUGACUCUGGCAUUAACCGCUCAUCGGCCUCACCUCACUGCCAUGUUUAGUCUCUAGUGCCAGCAAGUCUGACCAACAGCUCUGCUUAGAGGAGAACUGGAAUUGGUUUCAGGCACGCGGCCCGGAAAGCUGGAAAACCCCAACGUUUCCAGGUACAGCCAGCACAGGCCAGGAUAGAGGUCCGUGUGCCUUGAUCCAACUUGUGACUGCCUGCUCAGCGAGGAAGGAAUGGCCCCCUUUGGUGGCUACACUGAGCCCGUCAGGCAACUGUGCGUUAGUUGAAUCUCAGAGUCCAAAGGGAGCGGAGACGGAGUACAACACCACACGCACCAUUAACGUCACGUAGCUUCUGCAAGUUUGUGCACUAGCACUUGUGGAGAAAAACCCACAAAAGCCCACCCAACCACGCCUGAUAGGAAGGUGCUGGGAAAGAAAGUCCUCUUUACCUUUCAGACGGAAAGGCGAUGACUGUGUGGAAUUUGCCCCCUGCAGCUGCGGGGCCUUCUUCCACUUCGAUGUUUGUGCUGCGUGUCAGUGCGGGAGGGCUGCUGUGGCCUCGCCUCUGUGCCUGUGCCUCCUCCACGCUGAGCAGCAUGGUGGCAGGAGAAGACACCCGCACAGACUUGGGCCCUGAUGGAGAACUGCGCCCUGGGAGGGAAGACAAGACCACAGCUAAGAGGGAGGAUCAGAAAGCAGCAGCACAGCCACCACACUUCUGGGGGAGGUGCUGCCCGCUUCUCAGACUUGCUUAUCCGAGCCACUGGAAGAAGAGGAGGUCCAAAGAACCGUGUGGUCAGAGGUACGUUCAUGGCAAAGAACACAGUCAUCAUUCACAGCAGCUCACUGUAUCGAAACAGGCAAACAAAAACCCGAGAAGAGGGGGGCAGGGAACUCAGAAAGCUUUGCUGCCACGCUUUCAUCAAGCUUCACCUGCAUGCAAAACAUCAUCGUGACAGGGACGGUUUUCUCCUUCUCAACUUUGGGCUUGGACACUCUCAGCAUCCAGCCACAGGGUGCCAUAUUCUAAUCUACGCCCACAAGCCUGCUGGCCCCUCGAUAGUAAAAGCAUCUUUCAGCCAUCUUGGAGAAGGCCUGCAUUUGAUCAAGGUGUCCGAUCAAGACAAAGCUCAUGCAGGAAGACGCUCACCUGCUCCAUCUCCGAUGCCUGAUGUGGAUGUGGAGCAGAAGAGGACGUCUGUGUGGCUGAUGAUGUACUCCACCACAUCUGACUGCCUCUGCAGUUCCAUGCAGGCAGCUCUUCCGCUGGCGCAGGCAGACUCGUUCUGCUGGGAUCUGUAGAAAAGGCAGAUUGGAGAAGUCAUGGAUCCCAGAACAUUUCC